UGGGGAAUAUUGGACAAUGGGCGAAAGCCUGAUCCAGCCAUGCCGCGUGUGUGAAGAAGGUCUUCGGAUUGUAAAGCACUUUAAGUUGGGAGGAAGGGCAGUAAGCGAAUACCUUGCUGUUUUGACGUUACCGACAGAAUAAGCACCGGCUAACUCUGUGCCAGCAGCCGCGGUAAUACAGAGGGUGCUAGCGUUAAUCGGAAUUACUGGGCGUAAAGCGCGCGUAGGUGGUUCGUUAAGUUGAAUGUGAAAGCCCCGGGCUCAACCUGGGAACUGCAUCCAAAACUGGCGAGCUAGAGUAGGGCAGAGGGUGGUGGAAUUUCCUGUGUAGCGGUGAAAUGCGUAGAUAAAGGAAGGAACACCAGUGGCGAAGGCGACAACCUGGGCUCAUAAUGACACUGAGAUGCGAAAACGUGGGGAGCAAACGGG
rnacentral:rRNA from 1 species